rnacentral:rRNA from 1 species
AGUGAACGCUGGCGGCAGGCCUAACACAUGCAAGUCGAGCGGCAGCGGGUCCUUCGGGAUGCCGGCGAGCGGCGGACGGGUGGGGAAUGCAUCGGAAUCUGCCCUGUCGUGGGGGAUAACCUAGGGAAACUUAGGCUAAUACCGCAUACGACCCACGGGUGAAAGCGGGGGAUCGCAAGACCUCGCGCGAUAGGAUGAGCCGAUGUCCGAUUAGCUAGUUGGCGGGGUAAAGGCCCACCAAGGCGACGAUCGGUAGCUGGUCUGAGAGGAUGAUCAGCCACACUGGGACUGAGACACGGCCCAGACUCCUACGGGAGGCAGCAGUGGGGAAUAUUGGACAAUGGGCACAAGCCUGAUCCAGCCAUGCCGCGUGGGUGAAGAAGGCCUUCGGGUUGUAAAGCCCUUUUGUCCGGGAAGAAAUCGUCUGGGCUAAUACCCCGGGCGGAUGACGGUACCGGAAGAAUAAGCACCGGCUAACUUCGUG